CCCCGCGCGCCAGGCCCCUGCGCUCACCAGCACCGCCUGCUCCAGCCGCUCGCAGCCCUGCACGUAAGCCGAUUCCAGGUCCACGCAGUGCGCCCGGCUCUCCCUGUAGAAGGCGGCGGGUGAGGCCCGCUCCAGCCGCCCCCAGCCCCCUCCCCUCGCGCCCCCUCUACGCACCCCUGCAUGUCGCGGAAGCAGCGGAUGCACAACAGCAACUUCUUGUCGGUGGAGAACAACAGGCACUUGGCGCUCUGAUAUACCCACUUUACAGAGGAGGGCACUGCGGCUCAGAGGCUGGGUCAUCGCCGCCUUAUUUCCUCGGCGGCCAAUUGGGGGCGCCAGAGAGCAGCGGGCGCCCCUCCACCGACUUUCCAGCGCUUGGGAGGCGGAGUGAGACGCCGUGGAAUCCCAGCUCUGCCUUUCGCUGGUUGUGAGCUCUUGGCCAUGUUACUGACCUCUCAGAGCCUCAGCGCUGGGUUAAAAUAGAACUGGUGUCCUGAUAAUCGAUGCGUGUUGAUCCCAGCGUUUUCUCCAGCGUGCUCUCGCUUCCCAGGUCGACGUGAUCAGUGAGCUUUCUCCGCCCGUGUCAUCCUGAAUGUCCUGAGAGCAGCCCGUUUCUGCCCCUCUUGCGAUUACAAAGUCAAGCCCAGAGCCUGACCCACAGUAGUGCUCAAUAAAGGCUUAGAAAAAACUCGGAGAUAUUUGAGCUGUUUUCGUUUUGUUUUGUUUAAGACAGGAUCUCACUCUGUCGCCGCGUGAUCAUA